UUUCUGUAUGUUUAGUCGGAAUCUCUUUUCUUGUAACUUGAAGCCAUUGCUUCAAGUCCUACCCUCCAGAGCAGGAGACAACAAGCUUGUUGCCUCUUCCAUGUGACAGCCCUUAAGAAAUUUGAAGAUGGCUAAUAUAUCUCCCUCUCAGUCUUCUCUUUUCCAGGCUAAACAUACCUAGCUCCUUCAA